CCCAGGCUGGAGUUGGAUGCUUAACCGACUGAGCCACCCAGGCACCCCUGAAAGAAACUUCUAAGGCAGUGUAGUAGCCAGCCCCCAUGAUGGGCCUUGGUGGGCCUUGCCUCCUGGGGUCCACGCCUUUGUGUUGUCCCCUCCCACACGGAAUCACAGCAGGCCCGUGUGGGGCUUGCACAUCUAGGUCACAGAAGACACUGCAGCCUCUGCCUUGCUCACUCUUGGCUGCCAUUUGUGGGGACGCAUGAGCAGCCCUGACAGAGGAACUGAAGCCAUCCAGGGAUGGCCAGCACCAGCCUGCCUGUCAUGGGAGAGCACCAUCUUGGAAGCAGAUUUUCUAGCCCUAGAGCAGCCUUUAGAUGACUGCAGCCCCGGAUGACAGCUUAAUGGUGACCUCCAGGGGGACCCAGGAGCUAGCACCACCCAGUGACACCACUCCCAAAUUCCUGACCCGCGGAGAGUGAGAGAUAAAUGUUCACUGUUUCAAGCCACUAAGUUUUGGCAUUGUUAUAUGGUAACAGACAACAAACACAGGCAGAUACUAUUAUGAUCUCGUCCAUUUUACAGAUAAGGAAGAGGACUUUCAUGGAAGGACCUUUGAUUACCUGAUAGCGGACAAACCAAAAGCCAGUGCUUUUAACAACUAACCCUGGGGGACUGGAGAAGGUCAUAAAACCAACUGUCUUAUCCCUUCAUUGUGGCAGAUGGGGAAACUGACCUGGGGUCGUACAGAAGGUUUCUAGACAAAGAGCAAAGAUCUGUCUUGGGACACCAGGUGGCCUUGGCUCAUGGGUGAGUAAUGCCACUUCAGGGACUCUCUUGAAGCUACUGGUCAAGAAACAACAAACCUCCUGCAGCCUGAUGCACAGAUUCACAAUCAUAGGUUGAAAGAACGCAACGCCUCCCUCAUCAUGAUAACAAUUUGAUUACUCUGAAAAUUGGUCACUGUUUCCUAUUGUCAAAAUAUAAAAA